rnacentral:rRNA from 1 species
UUUGGUGUUCUAGGCGUAGAGGGACAACACCAAUCCAUCCCGAACUUGGUGGUUAAACUCUACUGUGGUGACAAUACUGUAAGAGAGGUCCUGUGACAAAAUAGCUCAACGCCAAGA